ACAGGGAGGAUAUUGUA
rnacentral:miRNA from 1 species